rnacentral:rRNA from 1 species
GUGCGUAGGCGGCCAAUUAAGUCAAAUGUGAAAUCCCCGAGCUUAACUUGGGAAUUGCAUUCGAUACUGGUUGGCUAGAGUAUGGGAGAGGAUGGUAGAAUUCCAGGUGUAGCGGUGAAAUGCGUAGAGAUCUGGAGGAAUACCGAUGGCGAAGGCAGCCAUCUGGCCUAAUACUGACGCUGAGGUACGAAAGCAUGGGGAGCAAACAGGAUUAGAUACCCUGGUAGUCCAUGCCGUAAACGAUGUCUACUAGCCGUUGGGGCCCUUGAGGCUUUAGUGGCGCAGCUAACGCGAUAAGUAGACCGCCUGGGGAGUACGGUCGCAAGACUAAAACUCAAAUGAAUUGACGGGGGCCCGCACAAGCGGUGGAGCAUGUGGUUUAAUUCGAUGCAACGCGAAGAACCUUACCUGGCCUUGACAUACAGAGAACUUUCCAGAGAUGGAUUGGUGCCUUCGGGAACUCUGAUACAGGUGCUGCAUGGCUGUCGUCAGCUCGUGUCAUGAGAUGUUGGGUUAAGUCCCGCAACGAGCGCAACCCUUUUCCUUAUUUGCCAGCACUUCGGGUGGGAACUUUAAGGAUACUGCCAGUGACAAACUGGAGGAAGGCGGGGACGACGUCAAGUCAUCAUGGCCCUUAC